rnacentral:rRNA from 1 species
UACAGAGGUGCCAAGCGUUAGGCGGAAUCACUGGGCUUAAAGCGUGUGUAGGUGGAUGCCUAAGUACCUUGUGAAAUCCCACGGCUUAACCGUGGAACUGCUUGGUAUACUGGGUGUCUUGAGCCAACUAGGGGCAGUCGGAACAAACGGUGGAGCGGUGAAAUGCGUAGAUAUCGAGAGGAACACCAGUGGCGAAAGCGGCGCUCUGGGCCUAAACUGACGCUGAGGGGCGAAAGCGUGGGGAGCGAACGGG